rnacentral:tRNA from 1 species
GUCAACUUAGUAUAAGUAGUAGUACAAAAAAUUGUAAAUUUUUAGGUGUUUUUCAGUUGAAA